AUUUUUAUAGUUUAUCUAAAACUUUGAAUUGUGAUUUCAAAAAUGAAUCUUUUUUUUUAUUCUAAAAAUA
rnacentral:tRNA from 1 species